UAGGAAGGCAGCAGUGGGGAAUAUUGCACAAUGGGCGCAAGCCUGAUGCAGCCAUGCCGCGUGUAUGAAGAAGGCCUUCGGGUUGUAAAGUACUUUCAGUCGUGAGGAAGGUGUUAAGGUUAAUAACCUUAGCAAUUGACGUUAGCGACAGAAGAAGCACCGGCUAACUCCGUGCCAGCAGCCGCGGUAAUACGGAGGGUGCGAGCGUUAAUCGGAAUUACUGGGCGUAAAGGGCACGCAGGCGGUUAAUUAAGUUGGAUGUGAAAUCCCCGGGCUUAACCUGGGAAUGGCAUUCAAGACUGGUUAGCUAGAGUCUUGUAGAGGGGGUAGAAUUCCAUGUGUAGCGGUGAAAUGCGUAGAGAUGUGGAGGAAUACCGGUGGCGAAGGCGGCCCCUGGGACAAAGACUGACGCUCAUGUGCGAAAGCGUGGGGAGCAAAC
rnacentral:rRNA from 1 species